rnacentral:rRNA from 1 species
UACAUGUGGGGCAAGCGUUGUUCGGAAUUACUGGGCAUAAAGGGUGCGUAGGCGGUUUGUUAAGUCACUGGUGAAAGUUUUCGGCCCAACCGGAAAAUUGCCUGUGAUACUGGCGAACUUGAGUGCGUGAGGGGUAGGGGGAACGAGCAGUGUAGCGGUGAAAUGCGUAGAGAUCCCCAAGAACACCAGUUGCGAAGGCGGCUGACUGGACACAUAUUGACGCUGAGGCUCGAAAGCAUGGGGAGCAAACAGG